rnacentral:rRNA from 1 species
UCCGUAGGUGAACCUGCGGAAGGAUCAUUAUUGCCAAUCAUUCAACUAGCACGCUCUCGGGCGUGCUAUGUUAUAAACAUACACACAUAAAUAAAAAAUGAAAAUUUUCAACGGUGGAUAUCUCGGUUCUCAUAACGAUGAAGAACGCAGCGAAGUGCGAUAAGCAAUGCGAAUUGCAGAACCGUGAGUCAUCAGAUUUUUGAACGCAACUGGCGCCGGUUGGUCCUCCAGCCGGCAUGCUUGUUUCAGUGUCUCUUUUUCUCAUCACCAAAAUCAUAAUGCGAGAGAUACCCUUCUCUUGCUAAGCAUGAAAGCACUCUGCGCUCUGCGAGCGACUUCGACUUGUUCGAUGGUCGCACUCAAUGCAGCAGUCACAUUGUUACAAUGUGAACUCAUUGAGAGUUGAGGCAGUGCAGCGAAAGCUGUAAGUGCUUAGUCACACAAACUUACUUGCAUCUGAAAUCAAGCAGGAUCACCCGCUGAACUUAAGCAUAUCAAUAAGCGGAGGGAAGUCGGACUUGGCCAAGGGGCACACCAGGGGGGGGGAUA